rnacentral:rRNA from 1 species
UGCGUAGGUGGUUCGUUGUGUCUGUGGUGAAAGCCCCGGGCUUAACCUGGGAAUGGCCAUGGAAACUGGCGAGCUGGAGUGUGGCAGAGGGGGGUGGAAUUCCGCGUGUAGCAGUGAAAUGCGUAGAGAUGCGGAGGAACACCGAUGGCGAAGGCAGCCCCCUGGGCUAACACUGACGCUGAGGCGCGAAAGCGUGGGGAGCAAACA